AAAUUGAAGAGUUUGAUCAUGGCUCAGAUUGAACGCUGGCGGCAGGCCUAACACAUGCAAGUCGAACGGUAACAGGAAGAAGCUUGCUUCUUUGCUGACGAGUGGCGGACGGGUGAGUAAUGUCUGGGAAACUGCCUGAUGGAGGGGGAUAACUACUGGAAACGGUAGCUAAUACCGCAUAACGUCGCAAGACCAAAGAGGGGGACCUUCGGGCCUCUUGCCAUCGGAUGUGCCCAGAUGGGAUUAGCUAGUAGGUGGGGUAACGGCUCACCUAGGCGACGAUCCCUAGCUGGUCUGAGAGGAUGACCAGCCACACUGGAACUGAGACACGGUCCAGACUCCUACGGGAGGCAGCAGUGGGGAAUAUUGCACAAUGGGCGCAAGCCUGAUGCAGCCAUGCCGCGUGUAUGAAGAAGGCCUUCGGGUUGUAAAGUACUUUCAG
rnacentral:rRNA from 1 species